UACGGGGGGGGCAAGCGUUGUUCGGAAUUACUGGGCGUAAAGGGCGCGUAGGCGGUUGGAUAAGUCAGCUGUGAAAACCACGGGCUUAACUCGUGGCCUGCAGUUGAGACUGUCUGGCUUGAGUGUGGGAGAGGAGAGUGGAAUUCCUGGUGUAGCGGUGAAAUGCGUAGAUAUCAGGAGGAACACCGGUGGCGAAGGCGGCGCUCUGGGCCGGAACUGACGCUGAGGAGCGAAAGCGUGGGUAGCAAACAGG
rnacentral:rRNA from 1 species